AGAACGAACGCUGGCGGCAGGCCUAACACAUGCAAGUCGAGCGGACCCUUCGGGGUUAGCGGCGGACGGGUGAGUAACGCGUGGGAACGUGCCCUUUGGUUCGGAAUAGCCCUGGGAAACCGGGAGUAAUACCGGAUGUGGUCGAGAGACGAAAGAUUUAUCGCCAAAGGAUCGGCCCGCGUUGGAUUAGGUAGUUGGUGGGGUAACGGCCUACCAAGCCGACGAUCCAUAGCUGGUUUGAGAGGAUGAUCAGCCACACUGGGACUGAGACACGGCCCAGACUCCUACGGGAGGCCAGCA
rnacentral:rRNA from 1 species